UCAUGAGUGAGUAGUUCUAUUUUAAGUGGAAAUAAUCAAUUCUAUAAAACAAACUAAUAAGGUCGAAUGAUGUAAAACCUAUUUGGAAAGGUUAUAUGUGGAUCGAGAAUUAAGAGAACAACAAUGUUAUCUCGUGGUGAUUGAAGAUUAGCUCUAUCUGGAAAGGUAGAGAUGUGAUGGAAAAUAUACAUUGAUGUUUCUGGAAAUGGGGAUUACGAUAUUAUUCUGUCUUCAUUUAAAGGAAGAGGAAGGUAAAAAGCUGUCUGUAGAAAAGGGCUUGGUUGAUUUGAUUAGGUCUACAUCAAGGAUUGAUGUAUUCCAUUUUGUUAAAAAAAGUUUUUUUUUGUCUCAUCAAGUUAAAACAAUUUUAUACUCCACCCUUCCCUAUCCCAUUUCAUCUCGGAAUACUACACAUCUUAGGAGAUUAUUCACGUAUGGUGAUUGCUUUGUCGGAUCUAUCUUUUGUUGAAACUGAGU
rnacentral:lncRNA from 1 species